UUCAUUGAAAUAUUUCUAAUGUUAUGUAAUUACUGUGUACAUAUGAUAUUAAACUCCAAUUAAAUAUUUAUUAUUAGCACAGUUGAUGGUUCACAUAUUCAUAUUUAGCACAUAGUUAUCUGCUGUAACUUAUCAAUGGUCACUAGUUGAUGAAUUUAGAUUGUCCAUUCCUGAUUGAUAAGUUAGCACAGGGGCCUGGUUCCUCGAAUGACACAUGUAUAUAGAUCUCCUAAUGCAAAGUUGGCCUCAAUGCUUUAUGUAAGUUCCUUCUGUCUGAGUUGGUGACUUAUUUGCAUUUUGUUCACUGAAACCUGUCUCUUGACUACUGUUGAACCAGAUGUGAUUUCUGAACCUACAGAUCUCAGCCGAAGGAUGACAUAUUGGCAGGUAUUACACCACAGUCUCUCUGACCAACCCCAUCCCCAUUGCUUUGAGUUCUUCCGGGGGCCCGAGUGGUUUAUCUGUCUCAGCAACUUAUCACUAGCCCUCCAACUCUGGGUCGCGAGUUCGAAACCCAUAUGGGGCAGUUGCCUGGUACUGACUGUAGACCGAUGGUUUUUCUCCGGGUAUUUCGGCUUUCCUCCACCUCGUAACCCAGGCUAAACAAGAAUCAAAUUUCAGAUAUCCUGUCCACACUUGAUGCUCCAGAAUAGCAUUGUUCCAUAGUCUCUUGGCAUCAAUUGGCUGAUUAACCUGUAUGUGUAGUUGUCAGGAUCUGCAUGUUACAGUGGUCUCCAUGCAGGUGUUGAUGAUGAUCUGAGCAGGCUUGGGUCUCAGGAUUUUUAUAUUGCUUGGAAUCCAAGCAGCUUUAAAUAUGCUCAUUUCACCUUUGUUAUCAAUCUUGAAAAUAAUUAUUUUCAGCAGUUAAAUCUUUAUAACUCAAAAGGUGUGCCAAAUACUAUAUGAAAUAAUUCUGUUAAAAAAAAACUUUGCUGUCUGUGAAUGUUUAUAUUUGUAUUUUCAGGUAAAAUCAGUCAUACUGCACUCUCAUAUCAAGGGGAAUAAAUCUGUAUUAAUUGAGAUCAUGGACCCCAUAUGAUAGCCACAGACUUGACACAACUGCAGCAUAAAAAGGUCAGCAUGCGAGCAAAACUGGAGGGGUACAAAUGUAAACACCUGGAGCAUGGUCAUAGACUUCUACAGAUUGAGUGUCAGAUAGAGCUUAUGAUAUAUAUUCUGGAACGACCUGACCAAGGACCAGCUUGGAGAAUUCCAGCUCAUGGACACGAAAAGUUUCAUAAAACAGAACAUUAAUUCUACCACAGUUGCAGUAACAGGCUGAGGACGCCUCCGCUCCCCAAAGACUGGGUUCACCAAGAACAACCUAAACAAAACUUGGACACAGCAAAAUUCAUAAAACAGACAUUUUACCACAGCUGCUGUCUGUCACAGAUCAUGGAUGAAGACAUCUGCCCAAAGACUGGGUUCACUUAAUUAGGAACAACACAAACAAUACUUGGAUAACACCCCUUCAGGCUACUGUGUCCAGUCUACAUAUGUUUGCAUCUUCAAGAGGAGCCUGAACGACAAUAUGGCAAAAAGCUAGCAAGUCCAAAAGUCAAAGACAAAAUGAAGUGAACUGAAAAGAUACUAAUUAUUAUAACGACCGAUAUAUAAAAAACUGAUGUAAAGAAGUAAUAGCUGACUUGUCAAAUUAAUGUUGAUGAUAUAGAAAUAUAAUAAUUUGUCUUGAAGACUUGGAAGUGUGUUUGAAUAUAUCAAUGAAACAUUUAAUUCUGUGACCAUCAUAUUCAUUUGAUUAUGUUAGCAAACGUUUUGACCAUUUGUUUUAAUAUCAAAUUUUUUAAUUUUUGUAUAGAGUUCAGAAAACUUCUACUACAAUCUAAAAUCUUUGAAGCUGAGGUUUAAUAAUUAAUAACUUUGGGUACAUAUAAUCAUUAUAUGAAGCUGUGUUGCCUUGAAAAGAAUCAUGAUUCAGCUAUUUUUGCAGUUUCUUUCAGUAUUUGAUUCUUGUUGAUCUAGUCUGUAGAUCUAGACCUUCUUUUUUGAUCUGUCUAAUUUUCUAUCAAACUUUGUACACUUUAUUAUGACAUGUAAUUGCAUAUUUUAUUGGCAUAUUGAUUGAGAUGUGAAUGGAAGUGUAAUUAUUUUCAUAGUUUUUGCUUUUUAGCAUCCAACAAGUGUGUGUUCGAUUCAUAAUAAAUUAUUUUCAAUUGAAAUAUUGUCUUUCUAUGUAUGUUAAAUUUCAAGUUGAAGUUCUCAAAUAAUCUUUCUCCAGUCAUGAUUCUGUAUGCUGCUGGGAUGCAAUGGAGGCAUCAUUGUCCAAUAAUUAGAUGGUACAGAGGUGAUGGCUGGCUAAGGUUGCAGCAUACUGGCAGGAUGGUCAAUAAGGUACUAUUGGCCAUGCUGCUGGUUGAGGUUGCAGCAUACUGGCAGCAUGGUCACUAGCACCACUGGCCAGCCUGCAGCAUACUGGCAGAAUGGUCACUGCAGCAUACUGGCAUCAUAAUUUAAAUAUUUGAAACAUGCUGCCAGCAUUCUGCUCCCCUUAUAAUUAUGAGGGCAAACUUUUGCAGCAUGGUGGCAGCAUGGGCUGUGCAUGCUACCAGCAGCAUGCUGCAUUUUCAUGCUGCUCGUAUGCUGCAAAUCCGUAAGGGGAGGGUCGCGGAUUCGAUCCCGGCUGGAACUUCUUCUCUUAUAUGAAAAUUUAUAAUAAUUUUUGGUGGAGUGUUUACUUGUGAACCCCUUACAGCUUAUUGUUUUAUAUAAAAUUGAUGAUUUUACAAAAAUGAAGAUUGGGUCCUUGUAGGCAGGUCCUUAUUUGCAGAUAAAUAUGUGUACAUGAAUGAAAAGUAAUAAUAACUAAAUUAUUUUUUUCAUAAAGUUUUCUGAGAAUCUUUUCACAGUCAAUGUUUAAGUAAACAAAGCAAGAUUAUUAUCCAGUGUCUCUGUUACAUCUUGAAAAAAAAUUAUAAUCAGAAAAUCUUUUGAAAUGUAUCUUCCCCUUAAGAUUUGCAAGUUAUCUCAUUAUUCCCCAAUGUCUGCACCAAGAAAAAUGGAUAAAAAUGCACUUUUUAAAGUUGGACACCACAUCAUUUUAGAAUUUGUAUUGCUUGUUUUGUCUUGUCUAGGUGAAGGAUCUGUACGAGAGGAUAUUUCCUGAUAGUCUGCCAUUUUAUACACCUAGUAGACAAGUAACCAUCUCAAACAGUUUAAUACAGGCAGGACACUCAUUUCUCUGCUGUGUAGAGUAUGUGUCAAGGGAGACAACUCGGUCACUGUACCUCCUUCACCACCUACUGGAGCCUAUGGAGCAGUGAUGAAGUGUGUCCAGAUGAACUGGAUGCCCAUUCUGAAAUGCCUGGGGCUGGUCCCAAGAGUUACCCUUGCAUUUUGUGCAAUAAAAGGACCAAUCUUGGGGAUCGGCAACCUUUUUCUUCAAAUAGGAAGUACUGCUGUAUACAGAUAAUGAUGUACACUAUGUACAAGUGAUAUGAGAAAUAGUUAAAUUAGACAUUAUGUAUUAAAUAAUGUAAUUUCCACAGGUUUCCUUGUCAUGAUAUUGCUAAUGUUAGCUCAAAAUGCAUAUACCAGAUAGUUUAAAUAUGGUUUAAACACCAGAUUAAGGAGCAGUGUGUGUGUGUUCAUGUAUGUUAGUGCUUGGUGCACAAGAGUAAAUCAAUUUGAUACAGUGUAUUUGUUUAAUUAAGACUACAAACACGAUGUAAAACUGGUUUUAACUUGGUAUACAUGUACAAGCCAGAUGUGUAAGUAGUAAUUGGAGAGUCUAACAAUUGAGAAUGAGUACCGUAAAGAUGACAGGAAUUCUGAUAUCUUUUUAUUAUAACACUAAAGCUUGAUACUGUCACUACCUAUCAAAGUAUUUGUGAAGGAGUCUAUUAUUAUAGUAUGGGUGAAUAUAAAGGACUCUAUUGUUAUAGUAUGGGUGAAUGUGAAGGACUCUAUUGUUAUAGUAUGGGUGAAUAUAAAGGACUCUAUUGUUAUAGUA